AGGAGCAUGUGGAGGGACACUACGAGGGACAAGUGGAACUAUUUCAAGUCCUCACUUCCCUUCAGAGUAUGAAAAUAAUGCUGAUUGCACCUGGACCAUAUUGGCUGAACCAGGAGAUACAAUUGCUUUGAUUUUUACUGACUUCCAGUUGGAAGAAGGAUAUGACUUCUUAGAAAUCAGUGGAACAGAAGCACCUUCAAUAUGGAUAUCUUGGUCUGACAAAUGCAGGCAAUAGAUACGAAAUUCAAAAUAAGAAACAAGAAGUCUCCAUUCUAAUAAUCAACUAUGACACAUGUAGAGUAAACUUUAAAAUUUCACUGUCUGGGCAUAUUUUCAUUCCAAAAUAUAACAUGUAUCCCUGAUGUACAGAUCUUCACAAUAUUUUGUAAUAUGCACCAAUGAUCAAUUGUCCUUAUUUUUAAUAUUAGACAUUUCUAAGCUUGUAUACAGAUAGUUUCACAUAUCAGUCAUAAUUCUGAGACUAAAGAGCUGUUAACCAAAUAACCCCACAACUUUAUUUUUACUAAUAUAAAUGGAUCAUCUUUUUGUGUAAUUCACAAAACGAUCUUCAGUUUAAAAUUUUGAAUUUUCUUCAAACCCUCUGUAAAUUGCAGCAUGUUCUUCAAUUGCAAACUAUACUUGUGUAAUAGAAAGGAACAAUAGCAAGUAUUUGUUUAUUAUUUGCUGUCCAUUGGAACACACAAAUUCUUAUUAUGCAACUUAUGCAUUUGUCUAUGUGUCAGUUGUAGAAGUGUUUUUCCUUUGUUACCCUGAGCACAGAUAUAGUAUGAGUUUGCGCUUUCUACAUGUUUAGCAAGUAACAACUGGCUAAUUUUCCCUACUGCCAGACCACGUCAGUAAGUGCCACUACAUCUCAUAGUCAGACAUUACGAGCAAUUAAAA